rnacentral:lncRNA from 1 species
UAGUGUGGAUGCGGCGUGGUGCGGCAGCGUGGUGCGGCAGCAGGUGGGCAUGCUGGCGGGUAAGUGGCGACCAGGACUUGGCACCUGCCGCAAAAGGCCCUUGCUUGACAUCAACCUCCAUAGUGCUGUCCUGGCCGCUUGCUUGCAGGCCUAAACCAGACCUGUGACUUCGGGUGCCGUUUCGUGCAAGCCGGUACCAUAAUGCAUCAGCGACGUGAUUAUGUUGUGCGAGUUCGGGGUGGAUGUGCAUUAACCGUUGCACCCGCGUGCGCUGCGUCUGUCCUGUAUAUACGUAUAACUCAGCAUACUGUAAAUCGACGUAGACAUUCACUCAUUCUCACCAAUAUGAAUCAGAGUUGGCGUUCAUGACCUCAUCCCACCCCUCGUGGAUGACUUCGACGCUAAGCUGGGCCUGAGCAGCAGCAGCAACAGCCAACCCCUGGCUAUCUGUGAACUGUCUGCGGCAGAGUUCGUGGAGAAAGAAAUGGUGGUGGAGGUGAACCUCGGCAAAUCGCGUCGCCAGCAUGCCACCCUAGCGCAGCGGGUCGAGGAGCUCAGCACGCAGCUCACAGCGCUGAAGCACGAGACGAGCACGCAGCUCACAGCGCUGAAGCACGAGACGAGCACGGAGCUCAAAGCGCAAGAAGACAAGGCGAAUGAGCGGUUCAGUGCGCUUGAGCUUGAGAGCAAGCUGUACCGCACGGUCGCUCUGCGGUAUGUCAUGAGCUGCACGCACAACAAGCUCGAGGACCGCUUCGGCGGCAAGCCGGUUGCGAUGGCGUGGUCCGACUACGUGACGCAGCUGCGGCAGCAGCACCACGACUACUUCGACCAGCACGGCCUGAACGAGGCGUGCCUCGACCUGCUGGAGAAGGGUUUCGGCACACCUUACCCCGGGGAAAACCCGGCCGCGCACCGGCCGCCGCGGGACGUUGUCGCGCAGGCGGCCGUGGAGGAGCCGUUGUGGAACACCUUGUUUGCGUUCAUCGACAACCAGCACGUACGGCAGGCGCAUAUGGAGGUAGAGGAUCACAAUGCAAGGACGGAUGGGUGGCGCGGUGGUGAACCUGUGAUGAUGGGGAAUAGGGUUGCAUGUCGGAUGCCAGCCAGCUGAGGGUAGUGUGGAUGCGGCGUGGUGCGGCAGCGUGGUGCGGCAGCAGGUGGGCAUGCUGGCGGGUAAGUGGCGACCAGGACUUGGCACCUGCCGCAAAAGGCCCUUGCUUGACAUCAACCUCCAUAAUGCUGUCCCGGCCGCUUGCUUGCAGGCCUAAACCAGACCUGUGACUUCGGGUGCCGUUUCGUGCAAGCCGGUACCAUAAUGCAUCAGCGACGUGAUUAUGUUGUGCGAGUUCGGGGUGGCUGUGCAUCAACCGUUGC